rnacentral:rRNA from 1 species
GAAGUUAGCUUCGUAGGUGACCUGCGGAAGGAUCAUUACUGAAUUGAAGUAAUUCUCUUUGAAAGGUCUUCGAAGUAGGCUUCGCUACCGCGCUGCCGAAAAGAACCUCUCUCACCCUUGUGUACCAAACCAUGUUGCUUUGGCGGGCCGACCCGGUUUCGACCCGGGCGGCCGGCGCCCCCAGCCCUAACCCGGCCAGGACGUCCGGCCAAGCGCCCGCCAGUAUACAAAACUCAAGCGAUUAUUUUGUGAAGUCCUGAAAUAUCAUUCAAUUGAUUAAAACUUUCAACAACGGAUCUCUUGGUUCUGGCAUCGAUGAAGAACGCAGCGAAAUGCGAUAAGUAAUGUGAAUUGCAGAAUUCAGUGAAUCAUCGAAUCUUUGAACGCACAUUGCGCCCUCUGGUAUUCCGGAGGGCAUGCCUGUUCGAGCGUCAUUUCAACCCUCAAGCUCUGCUUGGUAUUGGGCGACGUCCGCUGCCGGACGCGCCUCGAAGACCUCGGCGACGGCGUCUCUAGCCUCGAGCGUAGUAGUAACAUUCUCGCUCUGGAGUUGCUGGGGCGACGGCCGCCGGACAAUCGACCUUCGGUCCAUCAUUUUCCAAGGUUGACCUCGGAUCAGGUAGGGAUACCCGCUGAACUUAAGCAUAUCAAAAAG